GUGAACGCUGGCGGCGUGCCUAACACAUGCAAGUCGAACGAUGAUAGAGAGCUUGCUCUCUUGAUUAUUGGCGCACGGGUGAGUAUACCAUAGAUAAUGUACCUCUUAGUUCGGGAUAGCCACUGGCAACGGUGAUUAAUACCGGAUACUCCUUCUUACUCUAAGGUAAGUCGGGAAAGUUUUUUCGCUAAGAGAUCCGUCUAUGUCCUAUCAGCUAGUUGGUGAGGUAAUGGCUCACCAAGGCUAUGACGGGUAGUGGGUUUGAGAGGAUGAUCAGACACACUGGAACUGAGACACGGUCCAGACUCCUACGGGAGGCAGCAGUGAGGAAUAUUGCACAAUGGAGGAAACUCUGAUGCAGCAACGCCGCGUGGAGGAUGACGCAUUUCGGUGUGUAAACUCCUUUUAAGAGGGAAGAUAAUGACGGUACCACUUGAAUAAGCACCGGCUAACUCCGU
rnacentral:rRNA from 1 species